GGCUCGGUGGUGUAGUGGCAAAGCACGCUUCCCCGGAUAGGAUGAAACGCAGGUUUGAUUCCCGCCUGAGCCC